rnacentral:rRNA from 1 species
UACAGAGGGUGCGAGCGUUGUCCGGAAUCACUGGGCGUAAAGGGCGCGUAGGCGGCUUGGUAAGGUUGCGGUGAAAGCCCGGGGCUCAACCCCGGGUCGGCCGUGGCAACUGCUGAGCUGGAGCACUGUAGAGGCAGGUGGAAUUCCGGGUGUAGCGGUGGAAUGCGUAGAGAUCCGGAAGAACACCGGUGGCGAAGGCGGCCUGCUGGGCAGUGGCUGACGCUGAUGCGCGACAGCGUGGGGAGCGAACAGG